rnacentral:rRNA from 1 species
AUUGAACGCUGGCGGCAGCCUAACACAUGCAAGUCGAGCGGUAGAGAGAAGCUUGCUUCUCUUGAGAGCGGCGGACGGGUGAGUAAUGCCUAGGAAUCUGCCUGGUAGUGGGGGAUAACGUUCGGAAACGGACGCUAAUACCGCAUACGUCCUACGGGAGAAAGCAGGGGACCUUCGGGCCUUGCGCUAUCAGAUGAGCCUAGGUCGGAUUAGCUAGUUGGGAAGGUAAUGGCUCACCAAGGCGACGAUCCGUAACUGGUCUGAGAGGAUGAUCAGUCACACUGGAACUGAGACACGGUCCAGACUCCUACGGGAGGCAGCAGUGGGGAAUAUUGGACAAUGGGCGAAAGCCUGAUCCAGCCAUGCCGCGUGUGUGAAGAAGGUCUUCGGAUUGUAAAGCACUUUAAGUUGGGAGGAAGGGUUGUAGAUUAAUACUCUGCAAUUUUGACGUUACCGACAGAAUAAGCACCGGCUAACUCUGUGCCAGCCGCCGCCGUAA